UAGUCAUAUGCUUGUCUCAAAGACUAAGCCAUGCACGUGUCAGUUUAAUUUUAACCUGGUGAAACUGCGAAUGGCUCAUUACAACAGCAAUCGUAUCCAUGCGUGUUUGUGCUACUCGGAUACCUGUAGCAAUUCUAGAGCUAAUACGUGCCAACGGCGGGGCCUUACGGCGUCGCAGGGCUUAUUCGGUUCAAAAGCUGGCGCAUUGUCGGUGAUUCAGGAUAAUUUGGAGCGGGGCGAACCCGCGAGACCCGGACCUCACGCUCUCGCAGCGGAGGCGACGCAUUCUAGUUUCUGCCCUAUCAAGUAGUUGCGAAGGUCUUGUCUUCGCAAGCUUAUGACGGGUAACGGAAAAUUAGGGUUUGACUCCGGAGAGGGGGCUUGAGAAUUGGCCACCACAUCUAAGGAAGGCAGCAGGCGCGCAAAUUCCCCAAUCCGGACAUCGGGAGGGAGUGACAAGAAAUAUUGAAGGCGGGGCGCAAGCCUUGCUUAUCGGAAUGAGAACAACUUAAUGAACUUAUCGAGUAACAAUU
rnacentral:rRNA from 1 species